AGUUGCACAGCUGCCUGGUAGGUGACUGGAGGCAUUGAGCAGUGUGCUCACUGGUAUUUCGCUGAUGUGGCCCCAACCCCGCCUCCCUCCCCACCCCGCGAUGUCAGAAAAAACACAACAGGGGAAAUUGGCCGCAGCCAAGAAAAAGUUAAAAGCAUAUUGGCAGAGGAAGAGCCCUGGCAUUCCAGCAGGAGCUAACAGGAAAAAGAAAAUCAAUGGCAGUAGCCCUGACACAGCCACUUCUGGUGGUUACCACUCACCUGGGGAUUCAGCAACAGGUAUCUACGGGGAAGGCCGUGCAUCCUCUACUACCCUGGAGGAUCUGGAGAGCCAGUACCAAGAACUAGCAGUGGCCCUGGAUUCAAGCUCCGCAAUAAUCAGUCAACUCACUGAAAACAUCAAUUCACUGGUUCGCACAUCUAAGGAGGAGAAGAAGCAUGAGAUACAUCUGGUACAGAAGCUUGGGAGGAGCUUGUUCAAACUCAAAAACCAGACGGCUGAACCCCUGGCCCCAGAGCCCCCAGCAGGGCCAUCUAAGGUAGAGCAGCUACAAGAUGAGACCAACCACCUAAGGAAGGAGCUAGAGAGUGUGGGAAGACAGCUCCAGGCUGAGGUGGAAAACAAUCAGAUGUUGAGUCUCCUGAACAGGAGACAGGAGGAGAGGCUACGUGAACAGGAGGAGAGGCUACGUGAACAGGAGGAGAGGCUACGUGAACAGGAGGAGAGGCUACAUGAACAGGAGGAGAGGCUACGUGAACAGGAGGAGAGGCUGUGUGAACAGGAGGAGAGGCUACGUGAACAUGAGGAGAGGCUGUGUGAACAGGAGGAGAGGCUAUGUGAACAGGAGGAGAGGCUACGUGAACAGGAGGAGAGGCUGUGUGAACAGGAGGAGAGGCUGUGUGAACAGGAGGAGAGGCUACGUGAACAGGAGGAGAGGCUGUGUGAACAGGAGGAGAGGCUACGUGAACAGGAGGAGAGGCUGUGUGAACAGGAGGAGAGGCUACGUGAACAGGAGGAGAGGCUGUGUGAACAGGAGAAGCUGCCAGGGCAGGAGAGGCUGCUGGAAGAGGUGGAGAAGCUGUUAGAACAGGAGAGGCGGCAGGAGGAGCAGGAGAGGCUGCUGGAGAGGGAGAGGCUGCUGGAAGAGGUGGAGAAGCUGUUAGAACAGGAGAGGCGGCAGGAGGAGCAGGAGAGGCUGCUGGAGAGGGAGAGGCUGCUGGAAGAGGUGGAGAAGCUGUUAGAACAGGAGAGGCGGCAGGAGGAGCAGGAGAGGCUGCUGGAGAGGGAGAGGCUGCUGGACGAGGUGGAGGAGCUCCUGGACGAGGUGGAGGAGCUCCUGGAGCAGGAGAGGCUUCGGUAACAGGAUGAGAGGCUGUGGCAGCAGGAGACUCUGCGGGAGCUGGAGAGGCUGCGGGAGCUGGAGAGGCUGCUGGAGCUGGAGAGGAUGCUGGAGCUGGGGUGGGAAGCCCUGUACGAGCAGCGGGCCGAGCCACGCAGCGGCUUCGAGGAGCUGAACAACGAGAACAAGAGCACACUGCAGUUGGAGCAGCAAGUAAAGGAGCUGGAGAAGUCGGGUGGAGCUGAAGAGCCAAGAGGCUCCGAGUCUGCAGCAGCAGCCAGACCAGUAGCUGGAGCCCCAGUCCCACAAGGAGCUUGGAUGUGCGGACAAGCAGGGUGGACUCCCCAGGAGCACCCAGGCUUGGGUGGAGAAGCUGUUGGUACAGGAGAGGCGGCAGGAGGAGCAGGAGAGGCUGCAUGCCAUUCUUUUCGGGCUGCCGAGAACAGGGAGCUAAACAUCACCAUCAUCUAAGAGCGGGUCAAGGAAUUAAAAAAAAACAACAAAACGUUUAAGGGGUUAAUAUCCU